rnacentral:tRNA from 1 species
AAAGUUAAAAAUUUAUUUUGAAAAUAAAUUUUAUUCAAAACUUU